CGUUUGUUAGUUUAGGAAGACUUUCUCUGAGAAAUAAUUAGUUCAUUGAGUAAAAAUUAUUCUUGCCGCGGAUUUACAAUAAUUAUACAGCAAAUUUAGAAUUUUAAGAACCAUUUAUAUAUUAGCCUCAAAGUUUACCAUAAAAGCUUGCCUUGAGCUUUGUACUAAAAAUAGUUAAGAGAUUAAACGUAGAUGGCAUACGAAACAGGAAUAAAAUCAACUGUGGUAUUUGUCUAAACUUUUAAGUUGAAUAGUAUUAGUGAAGGUCAGAAUUAAUGAGACAUCACUUUUGGAGGGUCUUAAACUCAUCUGCUGGACUGAAUCCCCCAUUUUAGAAAGUCGUUGGCUAGAGUACAGAAGCUAGUCACUGUGUCUCUACCUUUUAAUUUCUGAGUUUAAGUUUUUUUGGAAGUAUACCACAAGUGGCGAAAGCUCUGCGCUCUUGUGUAAUUGAUCAAAAUCUACAAAGCGUCCAACCGACGUUUUUUUGUCCGGAUCAAAGGUCUUUGGACCUCUACACCCGCCAUUUUGUUGGCGCACUACACGUGGAACACUCCGUCGGUACCAACUCGUGAAGGCCCGCCAGUUUUGGCAGUCAAACGGGGCUGAGGAAAACCCAUCCGGCCUGCUUGCGCCUCGUAGUGAUCUGGCAGAGUACCGGAGCCGCCGACGCCCUCUCCCCGCAACUCUACAUCGGCCAAAAGUCCACUGAGCGUACCAGACAGCACCGGCCCUAUAGAUGCGGUCCCCCUAGCCAGUGUGAGACCCCGCUACGUCUCUGCGCCACUGCCUGAAUCAGCGGUCGCCGUUGGCAUGCCCCUCGGUCGGUGAACCGCAUGACGCCCAGCAUAAAACCCUGCGCAGGUUAGUGUAUCAUGGCCAUGAUGAACACACAACAUACAACACAUACACAGACACACACACACUCUAUCUAAAACGAAAAGAUGAAUAUACAUGCAAAAUGAAUUUAAGCUAAA
rnacentral:lncRNA from 1 species